rnacentral:rRNA from 1 species
GAUGAACGCUGGCGGCGUGCCUAAUACAUGCAAGUCGAGCGAACGGACGAGAAGCUUGCUUCUCUGAUGUUAGCGGCGGACGGGUGAGUAACACGUGGCUAACCUACCUAUAAGACUGGGAUAACUUCGGGAAACCGGAGCUAAUACCGGAUAAUAUUUUGAACCGCAUGGUUCAAAAGUGAAAGACGGUCUUGCUGUCACUUAUAGAUGGAUCCGCGCUGCAUUAGCUAGUUGGUAAGGUAACGGCUUACCAAGGCAACGAUGCAUAGCCGACCUGAGAGGGUGAUCGGCCACACCGGAACUGAGACACGGUCCAGACUCCUACGGGAGGCAGCAGUAGGGAAUCUUCCGCAAUGGGCGAAAGCCUGACGGAGCAACGCCGCGUGAGUGAUGAAGGUCUUCGGAUCGUAAAACUCUGUUAUUAGGGAAGAACAUAUGUGUAAGUAACUGUGCACAUCUUGACGGUACCUAAUCAGAAAGCCACGGCUAACUACGUG